AAAGUGGAAGAGGAAAGAGUUACCCCAGCGAGAACCGGGAACCGGGCUGCAGACUCUCCGGCCCGGGGGAGGGAUGAGUUUCACUCUGGUUGCCCAGGCUGGAGUGCAAUGGCGCGAUCUCGGCUCACCGCAACCUCUGCCUCCCGGAUUCAAGCGAUUCUCCUGCUUCAGCCUCCCGAGUAGCUGGGAUUACAGGAACUAUUGGAAGAAUCGUUCUGUUUCUGCUUGGAUUGCUGGGUAAGACAGGAUGCCAGCCAGAGCUGCUGGGCCAUAUGGCCUCCAAGGAGAGACAAGGAGAGCCUGUCCAAGGAUGAAAUCAACCCAGAAUGAAGCAGAGCGGAGGGCUGGAUCCAGGAAUGCAUUCCGCCUUUUAACACCAGAAUCCAGCCAUGUCUGAAGCUAGAGCUACCUUGGACUUUCCAGUUACAGAAGCCUGUAUAUUCUUUCUUCGCUAAGCCAAUUUGAUUUGGCUUUUUGUCAUUUUCAACUGAGAGUUUUGACCAAGCUAUGUGAUAAAGGCAAAUUAUAAUUUGAAA
ensembl:lncRNA SAP30L-AS1 SAP30L antisense RNA 1 (head to head)